AGACGCGGUGGCUGAGAGCCCUGUUUGCGCACGUGGGUGUGGGAUUAGCGGCGAAGCUAGGCAGUAGAUGUCGUCAGACUUCCCUGGAAGAGCUGGGAAAGGCAGGCUCUUUAGAGAGCUUUUAGUAAAGAUUUCUUGUUGGUUGUUAGUGAUGGUUCUGUAUGUAGCUUUUGGUUUUAGCUUUGAGCGUUUAGAACAUCUUUAUCAUUAUCUUAUGUGUGUAUGCCUAUGGUGGAAAGACAACUUUGAGCCGCUGUGCCUAUGACACAACAUCUUUGUAAUAAACCACUGGAGACUCAGAGUAGUGAAAUCGAGGCAGUUUAUUUUACAACUUUGCAAAGUCAGGUGUGAGCCUAGAAUGCCAAGCUCACUCACUGAUGGAGGCAGAACUUUAUUUUAUUGUGUGUUUUAGUGUUUUGCAUGUGUGUAUGUCUGUUCACCAUAUGUGUGCUUGGUGCUCCUGGAGGCCAGAAGAGGGCAUUAUAUUCUCCUGGAAAUGGGAUUAUAGACACAGUUCUUAGCUGCCAUGUGGGUGCUGGAAAUCAAACCAGGAUCCUUUGGAAGAGCACCAACCAACUGCUUGAUCUUAACCCCAAGGAAUCUCUUCAGCCUCGUGGAAGGUACAACCUUAAGAGUCAUCUAGGUCUU
rnacentral:lncRNA from 1 species